rnacentral:rRNA from 1 species
GAUGAACGCUGGCGGCGUGCUUAACACAUGCAAGUCGAACGGUGAACGAGGGAGCUUGCUCCCUCCGGAUCAGUGGCGAACGGGUGAGUAACACGUGAGCAAUCUGCCCCGAACUCUGGGAUAAGCGCUGGAAACGGCGUCUAAUACCGGAUACGACGCGCGAAGGCAUCUUCUGCGCGUGGAAAGAAUUUCGGUUCGGGAUGAGCUCGCGGCCUAUCAGCUAGUUGGUGAGGUAACGGCUCACCAAGGCGACGACGGGUAGCCGGCCUGAGAGGGUGACCGGCCACACUGGGACUGAGACACGGCCCAGGCUCCUACGGGAGGCAGCAGUGGGGAAUAUUGCACAAUGGGCGCAAGCCUGAUGCAGCAACGCCGCGUGAGGGACGACGGCCUUCGGGUUGUAAACCUCUUUUAGUAGGGAAGAAGCGAAAGUGACGGUACCUGCAGAAAAAGCACCGGCUAACUACGUGCCAGCCGCCGCGGUAAGAC